rnacentral:rRNA from 1 species
AACGAACGCUGGCGGCAUGCCUAACACAUGCAAGUCGAACGAGACCUUCGGGUCUAUUGGCGCACGGGUGCGUAACGCGUGGGAACCUGCCCUUAGGUUCGGAAUAACUCCCCGAAAGGGGUGCUAAUACCGGAUAAUGUCUUCGGACCAAAGAUUUAUCGCCUUUGGAUGGGCCCGCGUUGGAUUAGCUAGUUGGUAGGGUAAAAGCCUACCAAGGCGACGAUCCUUAGCUGGUCUGAGAGGAUGAUCAGCCACACUGGGACUGAGACACGGCCCAGACUCCUACGGGAGGCAGCAGUGGGGAAUAUUGGACAAUGGGCGAAAGCCUGAUCCAGCAAUGCCGCGUGAGUGAUGAAGGCCUUAGGGUUGUAAAGCUCUUUUACCCGGGAUGAUAAUGACAGUACCGGGAGAAUAAGCUCCGGCUAACUACGUG